GUUGAAACACAGGUUCUCGUACGAUCACCGAAGUUAAGCAAUGUCUAGUGUGCCCAGUAUCGAAAUGGGUGACCACUUGGGAAUACCAGGUGUUGUAAG